rnacentral:lncRNA from 1 species
UCUACCUAAAUUUUUUCCUUAUAUUUUAUCUUGCUAUUUGCUGAAAAAAUGUAUGAUAUUCUCAAACACUGAAGCAGAAGGUUGCAGGAACUUACACUUUCGAAAGUGGCAUGUAUCAGAAAACUUCUGUCAAAUAAAGGCUCUUUCCAGACCUCACCACUAUUUCAACCUUGACUUAGAAUCAUUGUUUCCUUUUUUCAGAAGAUCGAGAUUUACACCAGAAAAAUGAGAAUCUUGUCAAAGAAUUGCAAAAGGAGCGCCUUAGAAGCCAAACACUAUAUUCUGAUUUGACCUACUUGCAAUUGGAGAAUCUCCAAUACAUGAAUACCCAUGGUGCCAUUCGUGCAGCUCAGUCAUCCCUAAGAUCUGAAAUUCCUAAAUUAGAAAAUCGAGUACGAGAGUUGAUUACUGAUUUAAUCAGUGCAAGCAGUCAUUUGGGCCCAUUGCAAAAUUCCAUUGGUAUAAUCAGAAAUCUAACUUUAGAUCUUCAAGGUCAGGAAAACAGCAACAAUUCCAUCAGCUCACCCGCUCCUCCACGAUACGUCAAUGCAAUGGGUCAAAAAAGAAUGAAUUUAGAAAUUUUUCCCAAAAAUAUGGGUGUAGCUCUUAACUCCAUCGAAGAGGUUUCCCAAGAAAUUUCGACCACUUCUCCGCAAGUGAGUGCUAAAAAGGCUCCCCGCUAUGAAAGGAAAUGCAAGAAAGGCCUUAGGCAUCUUGUCAGUACAAGAAAAAGUUUUAGAGGAAGAAGUUCCGAAGUAUCCAAAGAGCCUAGUGAUCAAAGCAAUGUCUGUUUGUCAAACACCAACCACCACGAAGAAGGAGACAGAGUAGAGGAUUUUAAAUCCCCACAGUCUGUGCACUGCGAGGAAAACUCACCCAAAUGCUCUAACAAAUCAGACUCCGGAAGUUCAAUGGAGUUGACUCCAAAAGUUGGAAAUGCAGGUGUGAGUGAAGACAACACUACACCUCAAAGUGAAGACAGUCCAUUGAGAUGUUCCAGGAAGUCAUCAUCAACCCUGAAUCCCUCUUCAACUCCAAGAAAAUAUAGUGAUGUUCUGAAAAGUGCUGAAAAACGCAAUGAUGGAAUUUCCCCUGUUUCAAGAUGUAGCAAUUUAGAAGCAGAACCUCAACAGGAGUUUUCAUCUCCAUUCAGUGAUAUUGAAUCCACAUUGCAGGGGAUAACUGUCAGAAGAGGCACUAGCCAUCGCAAAGUCUUGAGAACAGAACCCUCUUUCAGUGGCAGCUAUAUCCCUCACAGCUCAACAGAAAAUAUUGUCUGCAAGAUAGAACCUAUAGAUGAGUUAGAAUAUAGUAAAGUCUCAAACUCUACAAACGGUGCCAAUUUUCAUAAGGUCAAAGAUACCUUCAGUUUCUAUGCUUUCGAACAGUCUUGGAAGCAAAAUGAAUCUAUAAAUUCAAAUGAGAAUGAGUGUACCUUAAAAGCACUUGCAGAUAAUGAAGAAAAUCUUACGCCAAUAGUCAACAAGGGGAAGAAGGUGAAAAAGACUAGAAAACUGAAAUCAACCUCAAGUAGCUGUUCUCUGAAUAGAACCUCGCUUAUGUCUGCGAAUGAAGUUAAUAUUGCAGCUAAUUUGUAUAAUUCAACUCCAAUUGAAUCAUCCAAACCUCAACAGAAAAAAGAAAACCACUGGCAACGUUGGCCUCAUCCACGAUAAUUGCAUCAAAUGAUUCAGCUGUGUCUCAAGAAUCCAACUUUAUAAAUUCUGAUUCAGUAUUGUCUCCCAUCUUGAAGUCAAGGACUGACCAAAGCCCCACAAUGUCACCCUUGUUCACAGCUGCUCAGAGAAUAGUGGUAAGAGGACUUAAUUUUUUUUUAUUAAUAUCUCCUUUAUGGUGUUAUGUUCUUUUAAAAAAGAGUGUACGUAAAUAAAAAAUUUAGGAAUAUUCUAGAAAAUGGCAUGAUAUUUUAACCCUGGUCUGAGGGUUGAGCUUUUUUUUUAAUCCAAUGAAUUAAAGGUCGCAUGAACUUAAAUGACGGCAUAUGAUAAAAAAACAUUGUAGUCCAAAGAUUUUAAAACAACAAUUAUUUUUACUUGGCGCGUGCUUCGCCUAAAGUUUGAGAUUUUUUGGCUAUUCUUAGCAAUUUUAAUUAGAUCAUUGCUGUCCAAAAUCUACCAAUUGGAAAAAACUUAUUUAAUAUUUUGAUGAGUAACAAGGUGUCUACCUGUGGCAUUACCUGGAAAGUCCAGAAAUGAUACUGUUUUUUUGAGGGCGGUCCGAUAGCUCUGAAAAAGUACACAAAUUCUGCAAGAAGGUUCAACAUUUUUUGCUUCACACAACGCGUGGUUUUUAGAACAGCCUGGAAAGAAUACAAUCCCUUGCACAUUGAUUCUUGAAGCAGUAUUUGCUUGCAAGAUCGUGAUUGGGCUGUCAGUUGUACUUCAGACCACCAAUAGAAUUUUGUGGCUACUUAAUUUUGAUCGAGAUUCAAGCAUGAACUAUAGUCGGCAAUCUGAUGAAAGAUAUCCAGGCACUUAACUUUCCUUUUACUGUUAGUCUCAGAGAUAUCGCUCAAAAGCUCAGUAAGGUAUUUUUUUAUUGUAUUUAAGCUGGAGUUAAACCUUUGAAAUUUUUGGGCUCUGGAAGCUGUCAAUUUGUUAAAUAAAAUGUUGACCUUUCAGAGCUCUUUUGCAGAAUCGACAAAAUAGAGGACAAAAUACGCAAUAUCUAAGUGGGACACCACAAGACCUCCCUUCAUAAACCUCCUCUUAAAGGUCUAAUCUGAAGAGGAUAAUCUUACCGCUUUCAGGAUUGUUCAGUUCUGCGAUAUUUUGCAGUCUAAUUUCUUGAGACAUAACUCUAAUCUUCUCUCACGAUAUUUUAAUCUUUUAUGUCAGAAGAAGGACAAAUAUUUUUUAGAAUAGAUGACACGCUCGGUUAUUAAUUUUCAAAAUUCAUAGAAUGUAAGUCCAGCCACCAGGAUUUGGUCUCCAUAAAAGUUUGAUUUCGGGAAUUCCUGAUAGGUGCUUCCAUUCAGGGAUGAAAAUUUAGCUGUUUCCAAUGGGGAUUAAUUCCUCAUAAAUGCUUAACAGUCAUUUGACGGAUUACGGAACAUUUUGUAAUCUCAUGAUUUUACAAAUUGUUUUCUUUCAUUUUCAUUUAUUAAACAUCAAUUGUGAAAAGUCAUAAAUACUGAAAGGGGUGAUUUUGCUUUGACAUUGGCCCCAGUGUCUAUUGAAACGAUAGAAAUGAACCAACGAGAAAUCUACUUGAGGGCAUUUUAAACGUUUAGAUGGAGACUGAUUGUUGGAAUGCAAGAGUCACAAACAACAGAUAAGAAUUCAGAAGGACACUUGUCCAGCUAAACCUAGAUUUUUUGAUGCACACUGUGGCUGUUUGUCAACAGUUGGUAUUCUGUUCAGCUGAAAUUCUUUCAUUAUAAUACUUUUUCGUCUUUUUUUACCCUGAUUGGCAUGUUUGGUAAACAGCUACAACACCUUUAAAAAUUUUUCAGGCUCCCAAAAUGACUCCAAUGAAGGAAGGCCUAGGAGGAGAGCUGCCAACGCCGCAAAUUACAAAGAGCCAUCUUUGAAUGUGUAAGUAAUUUUCUAUCAAUAUUUAUUGACUCUAUAUGUAUAGGUUUAACAGUAUCUACAUUUGCAAGAAAUUUGGAACCUUUAUAUUCGAAAGUUCGAAUCUACAGUAAAAUGCCUGAGAAAAACAUCUUUAAUGAAACAAAAAUACUAGGUAGGCUGAAAUUUUUGUAGUACAAAAGUUUUACAUCGCUGAAUUUUGUUCCAAAAUAUUAACUAUGAGAUCAUGAGCUCUAUUGUGUGCCUAUCAAUAUUCUGUGAAGCUAUUAAUGCUUCAAAAUUUCUUGAAAACCAAAAUGUAAAAAGUCUUAUGUUAGGUUAGGUUAGGUCCAUAUUUAUGAAGUAUGUAUGGAAUACCAUGAAAUUUAGUUCCGACUAAAAUUCGCUGUUAUUGAUAUAAUGUUCCUUAUGACUAUCUCAGUAUGAUGAGCUUUCAAAUCGAAAUCUCUAUGUGCCAAUCUUGAGAAAGUAGGGCCGAAAAGUAAAUUUUUCGGCCUUCUUACCAGCAAUUUCUAUUUGAGAUGUGAGACCGUUGCUAUGUUUGUCUGGAUGCUGCGCCGCACGCUGCUUUCAUUCGGAGGCUUGCGAUUCUUUUUGUCCGUCUUAUCUUCCUGGCUUGUGAGGGAACAAAAGCUCUUCUCGACCGCCUAUAAAAUGUGGCAACCAUUAUGUGGUUUCUAUUUUUAAUAUGAUGCUACAUACAUUUUACUUGCUGUGAUGGAUAGUAACGCUGUGAGAGCAAUUUUCAGUAUUAGUUGUGCAUGCACAUCCUAAGAUUGCACUGCGCAUAAGGGCAGUUGUGUGGGAUGCCACUGUAGCCCGCAUCAGGCAUGUUGUGCAAGCAUUAAAUCUGCUGUAAUUCUGUUGUUUUUCAUUCAACUUUUAUUCCUUUCUCUCUAAUUUUUAAAAGAAUGCUCUGGACCAAGGCCAUGUACAGCAACUAAAAGUAAACUUGUGUUGUUCGUAUUCAUUUCUACUUGACCUGAGUUAUCUGGGAAAGAUAAGUCUGAACAAAACUGGAGGAAUCUCAUUUAGUUGCAAUAUUUCAAGAUAAGUUGUUGUAAUUUGGAGUGAAUGGUAAUUUCCAAAAAAAAAAAAAAAAAAAUUCUAUCAAUUUGGGUUUUACCCACUGUCAAUUACUGUAUUUGUUUUCGAUUACCUAUAUACAUUUUUUCCUUUACAAUAAUACGGAAAUACCGCUGUUCGGAAUCUAUGAAUUUGACAUUUUUUUGAAGAAAAUGUAAUUUUUUAUAUUUUAUUAUUCCGUAUUUGAUUUAACUCAAGCAAAUAUCUUUUUUCUGUUUCAGGAAAUUGCGCCGCUAGCUUGCUGAAUUAUAUCUUUAAAUUUAUAUUUUAUUUUUAAUUCAUAUUUAUAUAAUUUUAGCGUUAGGAUAAGCAUAGUUAUAAGUACAGAAUGGCUUGAAGUCAGCUAGCAUUUUUGAGCGUCUCUUAUACAUAAAUAUUAAUAUACAAAUAAUAACUGCACUAUCCAAACUAUCAAACAAUCUUUUAAGGAUAGUACAAAUCAAGGUUUUAAGCUGUUUUAACAGUAAUGUUAGCAAUGAUACAUUAAAACACAAUUAAACUUUGAAUAGUAAAUAGAGAAAUGAGGAAUCGCUUUCAAUACUGAAAAAAGCAAUUUCAGUCAAUUGAAUAAUGGGCCACUAAACAAGGUCUUGAGGGGGAAAAAAUGAAUCAUGUUUUUCUCUUCAAAAUACAUAAAAAUCGAUUUACACAACAGGAAGUGUGGAAAUCAACUCCCAAAUAAGAUAUUACCAAAUAUUUAACGCAGAUCAAAUAAAAGUCAGAUUAUACAGAUGUUCUUCUUGUCAUUUGUUCAUCUGCCUUUCAACCAAUGUUAAUUGGAUCGCGUUUAACAGAAAGGAACCAAGCCACAUCAGCUAUUGCCAAAUUUAACUGGGCAAGUCAAUUUUUUACGAGAGAACAUUUGUGCGGAUUCCUUUGAAAAUUUUAAGGAAUUUGCUUCGUACUACGGAAAAAAUUCUCCGAAAUUUGCACGAAAAUCCGCCCAACCGUUUUCAUGUAAAAAAUUAAUUCGCCCAAAUAAAUUUGACAAUAGCUUAUGUGGCUUAGUUCCUUUCUGUUUAACGCGGUUCAAUUGUAAACACUUUUAUCUUGUUUAGGAGUUGAUUUCCAGAUUUCCUACUGUGUGAUUCGCUUUUCUCAUGAAAUUUUGAAGAGGACUUAUGGAGCGUAGUCCAAAUUCAUACCUCAUCUAGUGGCCCAUUACUACCUGAAGAUGUAAGGUUCAAAUCUAUAAAAGUCAGCCGUAUUUAUUGUGUUUUAUAUUUAAUGAUGUUGAACAAUCCUGAAAGUUGUGUUCACCGAUCAGGAUUAGCCUUAAUUUUAAUUGUGUUCUCUGUGGGAAAAAUAAUUUUUCCUUAAUAUUAAUAGUUAAUAAUUUUUAUAUUCUGAAGACUGAGUAACUUAAUUUAUGUUCUAUUGUUCCCUUCAGUAAGAAUACUUGCCCACAUCAGCUAACUGUGCUCAGUCAUUUGGUUUUUACAUUUCUGAUCAAUUUUAAAACUAAAAUGUUAUUUUAAAACUAAUAAAUCAUGUUCCCAAUGCAAAGAAAGUUAUUAAGAAUUUCCAACCACUUCAAUUAUUGCAUGACCUAAAAUUACUAAUUUUUCACUCUUUCAAGUAAUGAUGAGUACUUUUCAUAUUUUGUGGUGCAA